rnacentral:lncRNA from 1 species
GUCAUUCAAAAUUAAAUUGAUAGCAUGUAACCGAUACCCAUCUACCCCUGCUCUCCUUUGUCACCCUUCAACCGAUGCCUCAUCAAUUAAGAAACAUCAGUUACAAACCCUAGCAAUUUAUAAACCCUGCUCAUCGGCUCCAAUUAAUCUGUGAUUUUCUCAAUUCUGCGCUGUUUUGGUUAUGUUAUAUCGUCUCCGAUAUUGUCUCAAUUCCUUCCCCCAACAUAGAAACACUAGAAAUCGAUGAACGAGAGUAGAAAUCGGUUAAAUGGUACCUGUAAUUGCACUCGUUUUGGGUUAGAUUCAAGAAAGGGUGAAAAACCGUUGUCCUAUGGUUCGGAUGGAGAGCAUUUCAGAUGAUCGAGCUUUCCAACUAUUUCAUCAGUUGGUCCAAACGGUUCAAUUAUUCAUUACGAACCAGAAGCUAAAACAUGUGCGGAACUCCAUCCAAAUCGCAUGUAUCUUUGUGAUUCUGGAGCUCAGUAUUUUGAUGGGACAACGGAAACGGAUAUAACUCGGACCGUUCAUUUCGGAAAGCCUUCUGAACAUGAAUAAAGAUGUUAUACUGCGGGUGUCAGCAAGGGAGGCCUAAAAGGAAUCGCCCACAUAACAGGAGGUGGUUUAACAAAUAAUGUCCCUCAAGGCCUCGGGGCCCGCAUUUACAACAACUUUUGGUCCGUUCUUCCUAUUUUCAAGUGGAUCCAAAAGGAUGAAAACAUUGAAGAUGCUGAAAUGAAGCGUACAUUUAAUAUGGGAAUCAGGAUGCUAGCGAAGAGGCUGCCCAAAGGAAAGAGGCAACUGAAGGUACAUGUUGGUACACCGGUAGGGGUGUAAACGAGUCGGGCAUAGUGCGAGCCUCCACUACUCAAGCUUGGCUCGUCAUGUUUUUAUGAAGCUCGGUUCGGUUCGGAUUUACUUAUUUGAGCUCGAGCUCGGCUUGCAAGUAAAACCCAAAUCUUGAGCUCAUUUUGAGCUCACAAGCUUAAACAUACUUUAUAUUUCUAGCUCGAGCUUGUUAAGUCUCGGUUUUUAUAUUAAGAUGCUUUUGAUUCCUCAACAACACUCUUUUAGGAUUUUCACUUUGCACUAAAUGGUAAUGUGUUCGGGAUUAUUCAAUCUACCUCACUGUUUUUUUUUUUUUUUUUUGUUCAAUACCAUGACAAACGAGUCGAUAUUGUUCAAACAACAUAUGAGGCGACAAAACAGACGCACCCGCCCCAAAGCGCGGGCAUUCCCACUAGUAGCCUAAAAAUGAUGAUGAUAUUUGCAUGUCUUUGCAAUUAAUCUUGCUAAGAAUUUUUUAAUGAAAGAAAUUAGAAUGGUAAGUGAGAAUUUGAUGAUAUUUAAUGGAAGAUGUAACAACUUGGCAAUGGCGAUUAACUGAAAAUUUUACAUUUUAGUGUUUCCGUCAUUUAGAUUUACAAAAUGAUUGUCCCACUACAAUACAAUUCAAGGAUAAGCCUCUAUGGUUCCUUGCUGCCCGCACUACCUUUUGCUGAUUGUGCAAAAGAUGAUCGUGGAACUUACACCAAUAGUCUGGAUUUUUUUGCAGAAGUAGGUGUUUUGAACCAGAAAAGAGUGCUUCUAGGUGCCCUGAAAUUUUUUGAGUGAAGAUAGGUAAGUCAUCGUUUGAAACAGUGACUUUCUUCCAAAUUUUUGCAAAAGCUGCACAUACUGCAAUCGUUACACUCGCAUUCAUACUUCAGUUAUCCUUUACUUCUAUGGUGGUUUAUUCUCUUUUUUUUUUCUUUUUCUUUUUUUUUUCUUUUUUGUCUUUGAUUUGGAUUAUACCAAAGUAAUUGAUGAAUAAUCAAUGACUAUACCAAUGACUAUGAUC